rnacentral:rRNA from 1 species
AUUGAACGCUGGCGGCAGGCCUAACACAUGCAAGUCGAGCGGCAGCGGGAAAGUAGCUUGCUACUUUUGCCGGCGAGCGGCGGACGGGUGAGUAAUGCCUGGGAAAUUGCCCAGUCGAGGGGGAUAACAGUUGGAAACGACUGCUAAUACCGCAUACGCCCUACGGGGGAAAGCAGGGGACCUUCGGGCCUUGCGCGAUUGGAUAUGCCCAGGUGGGAUUAGCUAGUUGGUGAGGUAAUGGCUCACCAAGGCGACGAUCCCUAGCUGGUCUGAGAGGAUGAUCAGCCACACUGGAACUGAGACACGGUCCAGACUCCUACGGGAGGCAGCAGUGGGGAAUAUUGCACAAUGGGGGAAACCCUGAUGCAGCCAUGCCGCGUGUGUGAAGAAGGCCUUCGGGUCGUAAAGCACUUUCAGCGAGGAGGAAAGGUCAGUAGCUAAUAUCUGCUGACUGUGACGUUACUCGCAGAAGAAGCACCGGCUAACUCCGUGCCAGCAGCCGCAGUAACAC